rnacentral:rRNA from 1 species
UACGAGAACCCCAAGCGUUAUCCGGAAUUAUUGGGCGUAAAGGGCGCGUAGGCGGCCUGGCAAGUGGAUGGUGAAAUCCCUCGGCUUAACCGAGGAACUGCCAUCCAGACUGCUUGGCUUGAGACCGGGAGAGGUGAGUGGAAUUCCCAGUGUAGCGGUGAAAUGCGUAGAUAUUGGGAGGAACACCAGUGGCGAAGGCGGCUCACUGGACCGGUACUGACGCUGAUGCGCGAAAGCGUGGGGAGCAAACGGG